rnacentral:rRNA from 1 species
AACCAGCUCUUCAAGUGGUCAGGAUGAUUAUUGGGCUUAAAGUGUCCGUAGCCGGUUUAGUAAGUUCCUGGUAAAAUCAGGUAGCUUAACUAUCUGUAUGCUAGGAAUACUACUAUACUAGAGGGCGGGAGAGGUCUGAGGUACUACAGGGGUAGGGGUGAAAUCUUAUAAUCCUUGUAGGACCACCAGUGGCGAAGGCGUCAGACUGGAACGUGCCUGACGGUGAGGGACGAAAGCCAGGGGAGCGAACCGGAUUAGAUACCCGGGUAGUCCUGGCCGUAAACGAUGCAUACUAGGUGAUGGCCCGGCCAUGAGCCGUGUCAGUGCCGUAGGGAAACCGUUAAGUGUGCCGCCUGGGAAGUACGGUCGCAAGGCUAAAACUUAAGGAAUUGGCGGGGGAGCACCACAAGGGGUGAAGCCUGCGGUUC